rnacentral:rRNA from 1 species
AUGAAUCCGCCGUCCCAAAGAUGGGAGCAGGGGCCGGUCUCGAGUAUCUACACCCAACCAGGAAUGAUCCAAACUCCAGCGCAAGAAAUGGAUGCAGGUUUUCAAGGGCCAUUGGCAUGCGAAAACAACAAAAAGAGAGAGAAAAGAACAGAAAAACGAGAAACUGCUGCUGAUGGAUCCAGCGAACCGUGUGUGGUACUUGCAAGUGUGUACAUAUGGAUGUGGUUCUUGAGCUGCCGUUUCACCCGGGAUAUGUUUGUUUUUUGGUUGAUUGAUGCGUCUGUACAAAUCCGCAGUGUUCUCUUGCAAGGGAGGUGGCAUUAUUUUAUUUUAUUUUUCGUUUCGAAUUGGAAGUUUCUUCUUGCUCAAAUGGCGUCCAAUGCAGGUGGUUCACCACUACUACUAUGA